rnacentral:misc_RNA from 1 species
UGGAUGUGGGGGAAUUUCUUUGCAGGCUUUUUAAUUUUAAGAAGCCGGCUCCCCUGAAAUGCAUUAGUGGUGUCUGAGCUGCUAUUGGUGUGAUAAUUUAUCUAUGCCUUUGGUAAUGCUGGUCAGCGCCGCUUAUAACAAGACAAAAUUCAUUUGACAAAUUUGACCUCAAAUCAGGUAGGACUACCCGCUGAACUUAA